GACGAACGCUGGCGGCGUGCUUAACACAUGCAAGUCGAACGGAAAGGCCCUGCUUGCAGGGUGCUCGAGUGGCGAACGGGUGAGUAACACGUGGGUGAUCUGCCCCUUACUUUGGGAUAAGCCUGGGAAACUGGGUCUAAUACUGGAUAGGACCAUGCUGUAGGUGGUGUGGUGGAAAGAUUAGUUUCGGUAAGGGAUGAGCUCGCGGCCUAUCAGCUUGUUGGUGGGGUAAUGGCCUACCAAGGCGUCGACGGGUAGCCGGCCUGAGAGGGUGGACGGCCACAUUGGGACUGAGAUACGGCCCAGACUCCUACGGGAGGCAGCAGUGGGGAAUAUUGCACAAUGGGCGCAAGCCUGAUGCAGCGACGCCGCGUGGGGGAUGACGGCCUUCGGGUUGUAAACUCCUUUCAGCCAUGACGAAGCCUUGUGGUGACGGUAGUGGUAGAAGAAGCACCGGCUAACUACGUG
rnacentral:rRNA from 1 species